rnacentral:tRNA from 1 species
AGCCCGGUGGUGUAGCGGCAAGCAUAGCGCUAAACGCGCGCUGAAGCGGGGCUCUGGCCCCCGAGGGCCGGGGUUCGAAUCCCCGCCGGGCUACCA